GCUGCCUCAGCGCCAGUGGCGCAGCCAGGCCAACCUGCAGCAGCAGCAGCAAAUCAAGAACUGGAGCAAAGAUAGAGCCUUGGUGUGUCGUCGUCGUCGGCUACGUACCCGAGCGGGGCCUGCGGAGGAGAGCAGGAGAGCGGAUGGGGAGGAGGCCGCCAUGGAUUGAGCCGAGGAGGAAGGUGAGACGAGGCCAUUACUAGUAGUAGUAGUUGAAGAUAAGCAGAGAGAAGGUGUAGGCUUCUAGUGUCCUACACUACACUACACUCCUCUAGUACCGCUGUUCCCAUGUCGGCCCGGGUGGGCGGCGCUGGCGGUGGCCGUCGACGCGUGGUCGCCACCACCAACCAAAAAGCAAAGAGAUCGUGCUCGUGCUGCUGCCGCUGCCGAGUGCUGACUCCAUGGUCAACCGAAAGGAGCGAGCUUUACAGG
rnacentral:lncRNA from 1 species